AGUGAACGCUGGCGGCAGGCCUAACACAUGCAAGUCGAGCGGCAGCGCGGGGGCAACCCUGGCGGCGAGCGGCGGACGGGUGAGGAAUGCAUCGGAAUCUACCUCGUUGUGGGGGAUAACCUCGGGAAACCGGGACUAAUACCGCAUACGACCUACGGGUGAAAGUGGGGGACCUUCGGGCCUCACGCGAUGAGAUGAGCCGAUGCCGGAUUAGCUAGUUGGCGGGGUAAAGGCCCACCAAGGCGACGAUCCGUAGCUGGUCUGAGAGGAUGAUCAGCCACACUGGAACUGAGACACGGUCCAGACUCCUACGGGAGGCAGCAGUGGGGAAUAUUGGACAAUGGGCGCAAGCCUGAUCCAGCCAUGCCGCGUGAGUGAAGAAGGGUUUCGGCUCGUAAAGCUCUGUUGUCGGGGACGAAUGUGCAGUAUUUGAAUAAAGUACUGUAAUGACGGUACCUGACGAGGAAGCCACGGCUAACUACGUGCCAGCAG
rnacentral:rRNA from 1 species